rnacentral:rRNA from 1 species
UUUAGACCUGAAAUCAGUCGAGACAACCCGCUGAAGGAA